rnacentral:rRNA from 1 species
UACGGGGGGAGCAAGCGUUGUUCGGAUUUACUGGGCGUAAAGGGCGCGUAGGCGGCGCAACAAGUCACUUGUGAAAUCUCCGGGCUUAACCCGGAGCGGUCAAGUGAUACUGUCGUGCUAGAGUGCGGAAGGGGCUACUGGAAUUCUCGGUGUAGCGGUGAAAUACGUAGAUAUCGAGAGGAACACCUGCGGCGAAGGCGGGUAGCUGGGCCGACACUGACGCUGAUGCGCGAAAGCCAGGGGAGCGAACGGG